AACGAACGCUGGCGGCAGGCUUAACACAUGCAAGUCGAACGGGCCCUUCGGGGUCAGUGGCAGACGGGUGAGUAACACGUGGGAACGUGCCCUUCAGUUCGGAAUAACCCAGGGAAACUUGGGCUAAUACCGGAUACGCCCUUUUGGGGAAAGAUUUAUCGCUGAAGGAUCGGCCCGCGUCUGAUCAGCUAGUUGGUGGGGUAAAGGCUCACCAAGGCGACGAUCAGUAGCUGGUCUGAGAGGAUGAUCAGCCACACUGGGACUGAGACACGGCCCAGACUCCUACGGGAGCCAGCAGUGGGGAAUAUUGGACAAUGGGCGCAAGCCUGAUCCAGCCAUGCCGCGUGAGUGAUGAAGGCCUUAGGGUUGUAAAGCUCUUUCGGCGGGGACGAUAAUGACGGUACCCGCAGAAGAAGCCCCGGCUAACUUCGUGCCAGCCGCCGCCGUAA
rnacentral:rRNA from 1 species